GCGCGAUUCUUGCUGUACCGAGGGAAGGGCGCUAAUUACUGGUGUUUGAACGCGCGGCGUGGGCGCGCACCUUAGAAAGCCAAUUAAAAACAGCUAAUGGCGCGGCCUUUGUUGUUGGACCCACUGCAGCUCAGCGUAAUUAACUUCUGAGCGGGGAAAGCAGAUGGAGGAGGAGUGCGGUCGCCUCGCAGCGCUCACACCGCGGGAAAAAGACACUUGUAACGUGAGGCGAGUGUGCGCGCGAGGCCCCAGACCCGUCCGCCCCCCCCCCUUUCAGCUACGUUGCGCGUGUGCGAGGCCCGCGUUACCGCCCAGUGUCACGCGCAGCGCCGACGACGUUGGACCGAAGGAAUAACGAAGGCAAACGAGCGAGAACUCAGUUUAGUGUCUCAUUCCCCGACGAAGUGUUUCUGUUUUUAAAAAAAUUACUAAGAGAGAGGACCUACGAAAGAGAUGCCGCGAAACCGUUCGCUCGGCUGUGGUCCCAACGCGGUGAUGCGCGGUCCUGGGUUUGGCCGAUGGCGAAACAUAACUUGCGGAGCACAAGAUGCAGGAAGUGAUGUGUUUCCUGUGGAGGGCGGAGCUGGAUGUGACACCGGGACCUUUGCAGAUGCCCGGCUGAAUGGAUUGCUCUUGGGUUGGAAGCUGCUGGAGGUUUCCAGAAGGGGAAAGUGA
rnacentral:lncRNA from 1 species